rnacentral:rRNA from 1 species
UGGUGGAGUGAUUUGUCUGCUUAAUUGCGAUAACGAACGAGACCUUAACCUGCUAAAUAGCCAGGCCCGCUUUGGCGGGUCGCCGGCUUCUUAGAGGGACUGUCAGCGUCUAGCUGACGGAAGUUUGAGGCAAUAACA